rnacentral:tRNA from 1 species
CCGAUGUAGCUCAGCUGGUAGAGCAACUCAUUCGUAAUGAGUAGGUCGCGGGUUCGAAUCCCUUCAUCGG